GUGUACUUCAUGGUAAAAUGUAAAUCCAAACGUAGUUAAUCUUUUGCUGUUUCUACACAUUUACAAUUAACCGUGUAGAAGCCUUAAGCCAAAUUUGUUUACGCGCGUAUUUUUGUCUCCGGAAGAUUUCGUCGUGAUCUGUUUUUUAAUGCAGAAUAACUUUAUCCGGACAAAUUCGGGAUUUUUCGGCAGAUAUGACGAAUCGGAACGCGAUGGGCCCAUCUGCAGUGGUGAUGAAGACGACGUAGUUCCGCAGUUCCAAAUUCCGGCGAGGGCACCUUACAUUGCCUGAAUUGAACUGAUUGAUGCCGGAGGUCUACGGGAUGGGAGUGCUAGUGCGAGUCAUAGGCCUUCUGUGAUCAUUGAGUGAGUAAGUGUUAUAAAUAAGUAAUGUGUCAAAUAAAAAAUUUAGUCAAAUUA